UAAAAAUGUGGAAAUGUGUUCUUUUUUUGAGGAUUUUUGUCUUUGUUUUUUCAUUUGUUUAACAUAUUAGCACCCUUCAACUAUUAAAAGAACCACACAUUAAUAUAUUGGGUAAAUUGGAUCAGUUUUCCCGUAAGUGGAUAUUUCUCUUUCUAUCUCAAAAUUGGAGACAGUGAAUGUGGAUAAUUGAAAUUCAAAUAUCGCAACCUAUUAAUUUUAAGGAAAUCACUUCACAAAGCGAAGAAUAUAUUAUUGGAAUGUUUCGAGAUAUUCGGACAAUCAGCACUUUGGAGGAUCAUGAAAAUAAAUGAAAGGUCCCAUUUUGUAAAAGAGUUUGUAUUCUCGUCUCUUAUGAAGGUUACCGGUGAAAGAGGACUAGGAAUCCAUCCGUGGACUGAGGAUUAAGCCUGAAAGAGAUCACAUACCCUUAAGAUGAAGGUAAUAAGCAUCAUGGAGAAGAUGUCAUCAAAUCUAUUAUCUCCUCAAACAGAAAAUUAUAUAUAUAUAUAUAUAGAACUAUAUCGUACAAACUUCAAUGAUUAUCUAAUCCUACGUGGAAACUUUUUAGAGCAAUUGCAUCUCCUUCUACGCUAAUAAUAUAUUUUUCGCUUUCCAAA
rnacentral:lncRNA from 1 species